rnacentral:rRNA from 1 species
GACGAACGCUGGCGGCGUGCUUAACACAUGCAAGUCGAACGGAAAGGCCCUGCUUUUGUGGGGUGCUCGAGUGGCGAACGGGUGAGUAACACGUGAGUAACCUGCCCUUGACUUUGGGAUAACUUCAGGAAACUGGGGCUAAUACCGGAUAGGAGCUCCUGCUGCAUGGUGGGGGUUGGAAAGUUUCGGCGGUUGGGGAUGGACUCGCGGCUUAUCAGCUUGUUGGUGGGGUAGUGGCUUACCAAGGCUUUGACGGGUAGCCGGCCUGAGAGGGUGACCGGCCACAUUGGGACUGAGAUACGGCCCAGACUCCUACGGGAGGCAGCAGUGGGGAAUAUUGCACAAUGGGCGGAAGCCUGAUGCAGCAACGCCGCGUGCGGGAUGACGGCCUUCGGGUUGUAACCCGCUUUCGCCUGUGACGAAGCGUGAGUGACGGUAAUGGGUAAAGAAGCACCGGCUAACUACGUG